CACUCCUACGGGAGGCAGCAGUGGGGAAUUUUGGACAAUGGGCGAAAGCCUGAUCCAGCAAUGCCGCGUGUGUGAAGAAGGCCUUCGGGUUGUAAAGCACUUUUGUCCGGAAAGAAAUCCUUGGCUCUAAUACAGUCGGGGGAUGACGGUACCGGAAGAAUAAGCACCGGCUAACUACGUGCCAGCAGCCGCGGUAAUACGUAGGGUGCGAGCGUUAAUCGGAAUUACUGGGCGUAAAGCGUGCGCAGGCGGUUUGCUAAGACCGAUGUGAAAUCCCCGGGCUCAACCUGGGAACUGCAUUGGUGACUGGCAGGCUAGAGUAUGGCAGAGGGGGGUAGAAUUCCACGUGUAGCAGUGAAAUGCGUAGAGAUGUGGAGGAAUACCGAUGGCGAAGGCAGCCCCCUGGGCCAAUACUGACGCUCAUGCACGAAAGCGUGGGGAGCAAACAGGAUUAGAAACCCUUGUAGUCCC
rnacentral:rRNA from 1 species